CUUUGUUAUAACAUGUCAACCUCUAUAAACUGUAUUAAAAGUACGACUCAGUUAUUUUCUACUGUACAUUUAAUGGUUUGUAAUAUACCCAUUCUGUUUUUAAUUUUUAUUUAAGCUAUAAUAUAUAUAUUGACAAUGUUUUGUAUUCAAAAUAAAACAAAAACGUUGGCUUCCUCCGCCUAAUAUUUAGACUUAUACCUCAAAUUUGACAUACACAGUCAUCUCAGUACCAGAAGCUAUGACAAACGAGACGAUUUUAAUUUUGAAAUUAUCAAUUUCCCCCACCUUAGUAGCAAUAUACCAACUUCACCUGCAUAUGGAAUAUACAUUUCCCAACUUAUUCGGUAUUUAAGAGCUUGCAGCUCCUACUCAGACUUUGUAAAACGUCACCAGUGUCUGAGCAGAAAGUUGAUGAACCAGGGAUAUGUCAAAGAACGUCUCGUCCUUUUUCUAAAAAAAAUCAUCGGAAGGUACCAAGAACUUGUUGAUAAAUAUUCCGUAUCAACUUAACAAGUCUUGAAGUAUAAAUUUUGCGUAGUGACGUUAGUUAUCAU
rnacentral:lncRNA from 1 species